AUGCAAGGGCUGGGGUAGGAUAAGAAUGAUGAUGUCUGGCAACCCUGCUGGUCAGUUAGCAUCUUAUCCGUCAUCAGACUGACACAUUCGGAAAAGUCUGCCAUAAGGUUGCUUUGAAGGCAAAUACAGUUGAUGUACCUAGGGAAGGAAUUAUUAAGACAGAAGGCUGUUGCUAGGAGAUGCUCUGGCCUCCUAAUUAUAUGUGCAAUCUAGCCAGCUGAUUUUCACCUUUUGUAUUUGCUCCCUGGAUAAUAUCCCCACUUGUGGUGAUGGCUGUUUCUAACUUUCUAUCAAUUGUGCUUAAUUUAUGGAAAAGUGGCAGAAGAUUCAAACUUCAACAAACACCCAGUUAGGAAAACCCUGAUGAAUAUUUGGAACAAGUAUAAAAAAAAUUCUACACAAAAAUACCACAAUGGACCUCUACAGGAAGCUUUCAAACAAAGUGGAAAUUCCAAGGGUAGUAAAAAAUGGCCAACAUGUGAGGAAAUACUCAAGAGAACAUGAGAUAACCUCCAACUGGAAACAAUAAUAGAAAUAAACCAACAGGGUAACGUGAACUGGUUUGAAUAUGCACAAAUACACCAACAAUAUCAAUAAGAUGAGCAGACAGGAUUUGAAGGAGAAAAGACAGAUUUUGAAAAUAUACUUCAAUCAAAAAAUAACUAUCCAAACUCUACAAUCUCCUGAUAAAGUUACACACAGAAGAUGAAUAUAUCAAGGAAUGUAUGGUAAAAUGGGCCACAAACAUUGGCCACUCGAUCAGCUUAGACGAAUGGGAAUACCUCUGGAAAGUAAAAAUAAAAAUUUUCAGAAGCUAUUCCCUUCUGGAAAAUUUCUACAAAAUGUUUUAUCAAUUCUGUAUGACACCUGUUAAACUAACCAAAAUUCAGCCACAAUUAAAAAACACUUGUUGGAAAUGUAAACAAGCAACAGGAUCAUUUUUCCAUAUGUGGUGGUCUUGCAAGAAGGCAAACAACUUUUGGAUUGAGAUCCAUAAAACUAAUGAGAAAAUAUUAAAGUUAAAAAUACCUAUGCACCCAGAAGCAUUUCUACUAGGAAUAACUGAAAGAUCACUGCUGAAGUCACACAAUAAACUCUUCACCUUGAUGAUAACUGCUGCAAGAAUCGUUUAUGCACGAGCCUGGAAAAUGGAGAAAACACCAGAAAUGGAGGAAUGGAUUGUGAAAGUGGCAGAGGUGGCUGAGAUGGACAUUCUGACCGGAUAUCUUCAGUCAAAAGACCCUGCGGAGUUUAGGAAAGACUGGGAGCCCUUCAAAAGGUUCUUAGAAGGAAAGACUAUUUCAACGUAGGGCUUUCAAGUUUGACUAUUAUAAAAGCUAAUUUUUCAUCACAUUGUUUAACUUCUUUCUGAAGAAUGCCAUGAUGAAGAAUUCUUUGGAACUACAGUAGAGUCUCACUUAUCCAACACAUUUUUGUAGUCAAUGUUUUCAAUGCAUUGUGAUAUUUUGGUGCUAAAUUCAUAAAUACAGUAAUUACUACAUAGCAUUAAUGUGUAAUGAACUACUUUUUCUGUUAAAUCUGUUGUAUAACAUGAUGUUUUGGUGCUGAAUUUGUAAAAUCAUAACCUUUUUUGAUGUUUAAUAGGCUUUUUCUUAAUUUCUCCUCAUUAUCCAACAUAUUUGCUUAUCCAACGUUCUGCCGGCCCGUUUAUGUUGGAUAAGUGAGACUCUACUGUAUCUGAUGUGACUUAAUUUUCUUUAGUAUAUGUAUUAUGGCAGAACACUUGAGAUGUGAACGUUAAGUUUGUGUUCAGAAAAGGUAUUGUGUGUAGUUGUCAAGGAAGGGAAGGGGGGGGGGGGGGAAAAAGAAGAAAAAGAAAAAAUAUUUAAAGAAAAAGAAAUAUGUAAUGCUAUUUGGACAAGCUGGAAUGUUACAAAAUUAGAAAUAAGUGAUUCCUGAAAAGGUUAAAUAUGUUGGAAUAAUGUUAAUGAAGCAUUUGUUUAUGACUUUAAACAUCUUUCAAUUUAUGCAAAUUGGGGUUGUAUAGCUAUCCAUACUGGUGUAUGUAAAACAGUCAAAAAGCUCAAAACACAGAAAAUAUUUUAUUGCUUGUUCUCAUUCUUAUGGGGUUUUUUUAACUGAUGUGAUGUCAUGAUGUGUUUAGAUAUACUCUGAAAUUCUCUUGAUCAUGAAGAUAUAUUCCCUGCUUUGCAAGGAGUCUCUUUUUUGUUUUAAACUAUGAUUUCUGUAUAUGAUAGGGAGGGGGGGAAGUAGAUGGUGGAUUUUGCUUUGAAAAUGUUUUGAAUUAGAGUGAGCACCAAAGAAUGCUAUAUUUAUUUUGCACAAGUUGUCAUUUGAUUACAAAUGUAGACACGUUUCAUUACUUUUGAAUGUAUAUUAUAUUGUUUGUGCCAAACAAUUAAUAAAAAUAAUUUCAAAAAAAAGAAA